GGAAAAGUGACUGUACUGGGCUUCCUAUCGCAAUGCUGAAUAAUACUGAAGUACCCCAGUGUCGAGGGCAAUAUGGAAUUAAGAUGAAGAAAAAUAUGUCUCUCAUAUGCUGGUACAACAGAGGACAUUUUCGUUUUCUCACUAAUGCCUAUUCUCCUGUUCAGCAAGGUGGGAGCAAAACAUGUUGUGAAUUAUUUUUGCUGAAAUGCAUUUUUAUAAAUUAUGUGUUAUGUCACUUGAAUAUGAAGCUUCAUUUCAAAAUUACUGGAGUUUUGAUAUCUUCCCAAUCAUUCAAGUCAACCAUUCAGGAUGUUAGGCAAAUACAGUGAUAUUAUAACUAUUAUAGCUUUUCUACUGUCAUGAAGGGGUUGUAGCAGAUCCCAAUUAUAUCCAGUAUCCAAGGAGGGGCACUGGAUGUUUGAAAUUGAAGUGCAGUGUAUUGUGUGUGUAUAGAUAAUGUGAUAAAGUGAAUGGUGUGGUAUGUGAGGAUGUUUAUAUUUCUGCUAAUUUCCUCAGAGAGGCAUAUGACAUUUAACCCUAGGGGGAGUAUCCGUUGUAUGUGUUGCAUGCAACACAACUUAAUGCGUAGUUAUGGGCCCUUGAGAGAAAUAAAAUCCAGGCCAGGGUUUUGGACUGUCUCCUGUAUGUACGUAGCGGGGAAUGUGGUGCGACUAAGAGUAAGGAGACUACCCCAAUUCUCCCCCCAAUAACGACAAACAACGAAACAGGCCACAGCAUUUAUUAAACUUACAACUGUAGGACUCAUCCAAACUUUAUUCUUUUCCUUUAAUUCAAAUAUAAAGGAACACAUAAAUAUAUAUACAUACCAUUAUUAACAUAUAAAUUACACUUAUUGCCCUACAGCCUCCAACUUAAAUAACCGUCCUUGCCAACGAACUUAACCAGGUGUCUAUGCACCAAAAACUUUACCCACUGGUGUCUCGCCUCCCCCCUCAUCCAAACCAAAAAUUUCAAUCAUCUUAAAUGCUCUACCACCAGUCGGCUUUUUGCUCGGUGGGCACGUCCUAUUCGGUAACUUAAAAGUUUACCUUACAGAGCAGGGGAGGUUGAGACCCACCUUGUCCAUCUCCUGCCAUUCCAUCUGCUCUCCAACCCUGUUGGCAAGGACACACUUCCCGCCACAAACUCCCGCUGUUUUAAACCUAAAAUCAGCGGGGAGCCCCACCAAAACCAACCAGGCCUGUUCCACCACUUCCUGCAUGGCAAGAUGAAACACCAGAAACACAGUAACUGCCACACAUGCGAAAACACUCUGUGGCAAACCAAAAUCCCCUUACCCUCAAACACACCUAGAGGCCCUCCAAUUUUGCUUCAUACGGCAGCGCACCAUGCACUGAUUAUGGGCCUGCUGCCAAAAGAUACGGGAAAUGACCUCCAACCAAUCGAGUUUAUUUAUUUAUUUAAAUUUUAUUUAUUAUUAUUAUUUUUAUUUUUUUAUUGAUUUAUUUAUUUUUGAACUGCCUUUGUUAUAACAUACUACAAGUACUGUAUAACACAUCCAUAACUUAUUAUAAUAAUCUCUCUUCUUUUCUGAAACCAAAAUGUUAAACAUAAAUAACCAUAACUUAACAUAUAUAACUUAAUACACAGGGUCAUACGGUGAACCCAACAUCACGCAUCACGAAACAACUAAAACACGCACCAAUACCCUCUUAAGGGCAGAUGCCAAAUACCACCUUGGACCGUCCCAAGCUCAAUGCCCCCCAGGUGGAUAACCCGAACAUUAGGGACAGCUAAACCUGCUCCGGGAGGAGCCGAACCCAUUUCAAAUCUCCGGCACCAAACCAACGAACCUCCGCUUCAGAAGGUGCACAACCCAAUAGCUCACCUCCUGGAUGGACACCUCCAUGCCACCUGGAAGUAUAACCAGGAAAAGGACAUCCAGAUAUUUCCUGUUUUCCAAAUGCACCCUGGAAAUUGUUACUUGUACCUAAAGAACUGGUAUUCAUUUAUCUACCUCAAAGGAAUGAAUGGUUGAGCCACCGCCACCGAGAAUUGAACCCGCAACCCCCCAAGUAUUGAACAAAUUCUACAAAACCAGCAUUACUUCACUGAGCCAUCUCACCAUACCCCCUCCCGGUUGUCUGCACUAUGUGCGCUGACAUACCCAUCCUAAAAGCCUCCACCAAGGCAGUGCUAAACUGAAAGUGUAGCGGAGAUGCAAUAUUCCCCAGGUAUCUCCGCUUAUAAUCCAAGUGAGGCUCAGGAACAAGUAAAUUGUAAAUCCAUAGGCAAGGUCUCCAGCAGGCAAAAUAACACAACAAUAUCCCACAGUAAUCCCAUUAACUGGAUGACACACAGUUUCAAGAGCAGAACUGAAAUCUUUUAAUCCACACUGUCCUUUUAAAGCAUGCUCCCAUGCAAGGGAGGGAUUUACAAUCAUUAGUACAGUAGCCAAUCCUGUCCUGGUAACCUCACACAUCUCCUCCCCUCAGCCUGCAUCAUAAUCCAGUCUAGCAAUUCCCCCCGUUUCUGGAUGUACCCCUAAAUGUAGGGGUACCCCUUUAAAGCCUACAUCCCCUGAUAGCCCUGAUCUGGGUGAACAACAUAUCCAAAAAUCACCUAGAUCAGACCAGGGGUUCGGGAAAUGUAUGGAGGGAAUAAAAUGACCGACCACACUGACUGAGAUAGCCGAAUGCGGUUCCAUGCGAAUGGGCCCUGCGGUCGGUCCUGGAAUAAGGGAACAAACUGCACGAAAGCCUCUAGCUAUAGAGGCUAGGGAGGGUUCGCCUGAAUCCCCUCGUUCGGUUCUUUCUAUCUACCGAACGAGGGGCCGUUCGGUAGUUAGGAACCGAACGGACCGGGCUUGUGGAGGAUUCAGCGGUGUUCGCCUAGUCGAGUGUCCGAUUUGAGUUCCAGACACUCAACGGCAAAACACCGCUGUUCGGGAGUUUUAAAAUGGCCGCCGCCAUGUGUUCGUUUGUCGAAUGGUGGCCACCCCCGAGAACAAAGGACGGCUACUUCCCUUGUCAAUUACCCGUUUGCAACAAUGUUGCAACGGGUAAUUGAGAACACACUUCACACAGGGGAGGUCUGACUGUUCGGUAGUUUCAUUCGAACAAACCAAGGGAAUGAAACUACCUUACAUUCAGACGAAUCCAAUACAUUUACACAUAUAACUUAGCUAUUUCACACGAAUACAUUCCCUUACUGCAAAGACAUUUACCAAAUAGACGAAAACAGUUUAAACAUAAUGUAAGUCCCAGGGCAGCUCGUGGCCCUCCGCUACAGAAAGGAAUGCCACAAUAUUCCUUACUGUCAAUCCCCAGAGCUAUCAGACUCGCGCGAAAGACCCAAAGAAUUGGGAAAGAAAAGAUUGCAUCUGCAUAACCCAAAAGAGGGCCCGUGCAUACUGGGCGCAGCUCACAGUUCCCACAAAGGAAACGUGCAACAGCCGAACCCCCAUACCCUUCCCGAAAAACAUCCGACCUGGAUGGUCAAAUACUUAUAGUGAUAUGAUCCGCAGGGCGCCGAAUGGUGGCAAACAAUACCCCACCACCGCAUGGCCUACCAGGAAUGACCAAUACCCCAACAUGUAUGGCCCCCACAUGUUGGGCCCAGGUGGCCUUGGAAACCAAUCCACGGACCCAUUCCAUCACCAGACUCCUACUCCUCUCUAUUUGUUCCUGGUGCACAAUAGAAUCCUGCUUAUAUCCUUUGGUGGGGAUCAUACCACCAUAUGCUCUCAUCACCAGAGCAAGUUUUUGCUCUGGAAAUCGUAAGUAGGAUACCUACUUUUUUAUUUUAUUAUGUCGGAUUGUACAUACUAUACCCUUGGAUUUAGUUUUUUGCUCUUGUUUUUAUACAUAUACGGCAGUGGAGAAUUGGACACCAUAUUCCAGUAUAUAUAUUCUAAGACGGGGAUUGUACCGUCCAGGCGCUAUACGGUAGAGCUUUUAACAGCUCUGCAAAGUGUGAGUUAGCAUUUUUAGUGGUUCUCCUCUUACUGUAUAGACUAUAUCAUUUAUUGACAAUCUGCACUAUCAUUGUUUUGUAUUUUGUUUCUUUUAAGGGUGUAUAUACCACCAUAGUACCAGAAACCCUUGUAUGUAUGUAUAACGUUUAUUGCACUCCGUACACUUUAAAUACGUUUGUGGCGCAGUAUACCACUUUUGUCUUUGCAAUCUCAAUGCCCAGAAAGCUGAGACAAGUGACCGGGUCCACUGUCUUGUCGUGUGCCAACGGGACCACAAACUGAUGGAACACCACACCCAGAACCUGUAGCAACAGCGGACAGGCUGGCGAAUUGGUGAGACCCACACAAAGGAAAUCAUCGAGGUAGUGCAGCCUCCUUCCUCACCACCCAGUCCAAGAACGUGCUGAAGCAUUCAAAGUAAAAACAGGAUAUGGAACAACCCAUAGGAAGGCACAUAUCCACGUAAUUCAUGUCUUCAAAACCACAGCCCAGAAGAUGGUGACAUUCCAGGAAGGCCAAUUCCACAUCAGCCUCGGCCAGCAAGGCCCGUGGCCCUGACCAUGUCAACCGCCACGUCAAAGGAUUCAUAAGAUACUCGCCAGAGUUCAAAAGAGAUGUUGUCAUUCACUGAGCCCCCCCGGGGACGAUAAAUGGUGAAUCAGACGGUAUUUUUCUGAAACCUAUGCUAAACCCAUCCAGUAGGAUGCCAGCUGCCCAGCCGGGGGGCCAGCCGGGUCAUCAUAGAGAGCCAGAGGCCAAUGUCUACCAACUACCAACCGUUGACGGAACUGCUCGCCAUACUUCCACCACCCCAGACCGCCAUAGGUACAACAAGCAUUCCAAAUGGUAUCCUGGUAGCAGAACAAUGCAGAGCACUUCUGCGGAGCCCUUUCCCCAAUUACACUGGCCAGGAUUGCAAACGCGCAAAUGCAAUUACUGAAAGUCUUAGGGAUCUUCCGGUACCAGUAUUUCUCCUUGUCUUUUUUGGAUUCCUUCCUGUCCUUUUCCAUGAAAGGAGGAGCUUUCUCCAUGGGAAGGAGGGAAAAAAUCUCAACAAAGUCUCCCCUCCAAUUUUUUUCCCGAACCUCCUGAUUUAGGUGCAAGCCCAAGGGCCCUGACUAACACAUGUAUGCGGGCAAACGAGCAACGUCACCUAAUGCUAGCGAUCCCCCAGCAACAGAAGGCGCUGUGGCACCCAACACCAUUGCAGGGGUGCCAGCAUGCCCACCAACCCCGGGAGAGGGGAACUAUGUGACCCCAGGAACCGUCAAAACCACCUGUGUCUGCAGCGCCGAGGAUCACACUAACCGAACCUGACCAACUAAUGGGGGGUCCCUACCUGCUUGCACACCCUGCUCCCACUGAUCAAGAAAGUCCCUAAGCCCUGACAAAACACCCCAAGUGAGGAACCCCCGGACUGAAAAGAAGAAAAAACAUUAGUGAACUCACCAGCCGAUGCCCGAGGAACCUCCCGCGGCAAAAGAAAUCAAGACGAACCAGGUAGGACAGAGUUAACUUCAUUUUCACACUACUCAGCCUUGCAGCAGUACCAGGCGCCAUCUGUUGGACGGUCCCAGGAACAGCAGCCACUGCAGCCAGAUCCUGUGAGCAGAGCAGUGGAGAUGAGGUAAGCUCACAACUUGCAGAGGAGGGCAGCCGCGGUAAGUACCCAGGGGGGACAUAGGGGCUAGGAAUUGGGACAGGAGGGGGGGAGGGAGAUAGAGGGCCAGGAGAGGGGAUACAGACCAGCAGUAACAGGGGAGGAGGAGGGGAACACAGAGGGAGAAGGAACCCCAGAGGGAGAGGAGACAAGGGAUGGCACCAUGGGGGGGAGGAGGGAGGGAGACAGAGAGAGCCAGGAGGGGGCACAGAGAGAGGAAGGGGACACAGCACAGCAGAAACAGGGGAAGAGGGAGGGAGACAGAGAGACAGGAUGGGGCACAGAGAGAGGAAGGGGACACAGCACAGCAGAAACAGGGGAGGAGGAGAGGACCACAGAGGGAGAGGAGACAAGGGAUGGGAGGGAGGGGUAAUUGCGGACAGAAAUUGGGAGGCCCACUCACCACCACCGGCCCCGGUCUGGAUCUGCUGACCACGUGGGGGCUGGGAAGGCCUCCCAGACCCCCCAGGAUGCAGAGUAGAUCUUCCGGCACCCCUGGCCCGCUGUCCACGGCCGGGGGGUGCACGGGAAAUGGCAGAUGAAGCAGGCCGCGUGUCAGAUGGAGCUGACACGUGGGCCUGGUGGUGCCUUGGGCCCGAGCUCCAGCUCCUAUACCGGGCCCAAGGUGAGGUGUCAGGGUUCAGCCGAGCAGGCAGGCGGGAGUGCCGACCCGUGCUUUUGCGGCCUAAAGGGGCUGUAGCCACGUGGGAGGCCCAAGGAGAGGCCUGACCAUGGGGGGAUGAACCCACACCGGCGGCCAGGCUGGAGGGAGCACAUUGUUCCUGAAGGUGCCUGCCAACAUCCAGGGCAGCAGCAGCUCUGAGGGCAGACAGAAUGCCUUCAAUAUCCAUCCCUCACCAGGCCCAGGACAAACAGGAGCGCAGAGGCAGGGAAGUUGUUUGCUGGCCAGAAUCCCAAAAGGCACUGAGGUAAGAUGAUCCCUGCCCCCACUACAAACCCAUAACCACUCCCCUUAACACAUAUAGCCAAUCUCUAGCACCAUCCCCACACUCAUACAUGUGCCCUUGUCCGUUUAGCUGUGCUGACUCCCCAGGGCCUAACCCAAAGUUCAGCUAAAGGUAAUUGGCUGCAGCAGUGGGAACAAACCCCUCCCAGCUAGGCAGGUAAAGAGAAAUUUUGUUUUUUCUUGCCACUAAGCAUUGGAGUAGAAAAAAAAGGAGACAGAAGAUAAGGUUGGUGAAACCUGUGUGUUCGUUUAAACCAGGCUUCCCCAAACUCCAGCCCUCCAGAUGUUGCUGAACUACAACUCCCGUGAUUCUCAGCCUAUCUAUUUCAUUCAUAGAAUCAUGGGAGUUGUAAUUCAGCAACAUCUGGAGGGCCGGAGUUUGGGGAAGCCUCGUUUAAACCCGUGACAGACAGGGAAUUAAAUGUCAGUCAGUGCUCAGACGAGCUAGGAUUUUGUUUAAAGGGAAACCUGUUACAUUAUUCUUUAGUUGUAUUCCUGUCUCCUGAGCGGAUUUACCAAUAAAGUACCUGGAUUAUGUUAAAACCAAAAGGCUGCACAUGUUGUUUAGCCUAGAGGACCGUGCUAACUGCAAACAAGGAUCACAGUAGAUGUCUAUAUAUACAUACCUUUUUUUUCCUUUUGACAACAUAUAUCUAUAUAUUUUGUGGAUGAGUGGUUCACUGGCUUUGCUCCUCUUUCUGAGUUGUGUUUCAAAGCUGUUGUAUACAGCAGACCCAUACUCCAAGGAAUACAUGUAUAAAGUGGAAUUAUGAGGCAUAAAUGUGGUUCUUUGUUGAGCUCAUUUGCAUACUCCUACCCAGAAUCCCUUGCAGUAUUGAGAGCACUGUGAAAGUGCGAUUUCUGUGCGAAAGGUGUUUAGCAAUGUAUUAACUAUUUUGUGUUUGUGUGUGUAUGUGUAUAUAUAUAUAUAUAUAUAUAUAUAUAUAUAUAUAUAUAUAUAUAUUGUCUCUAUGAAGGGGUUAAUGGAAUCAAAGCCACUACAGCCUGCAUUAGUGUGGUUUUUACAACUUACCGGGGCCGUCUGGGUGCAAGAGAAAACACAGGAGAAGCCAUUUUUUACUACAGUGUAAAGUCUGGCCAAUGCUGAAAACUUAUCAAACAUUGUUAGUAUAUGUUUAUUUACAUCUGCAUACUAGAUUUAGUGUUAACAAUUACAUAGUUACAUAGCUGAAUAGAGACUUGCAUCCAUCAAGUUCAGCCUUCCGCACAUUUGUUUUUUGCUGUUGAUCUAAAAGAAGGCAAAAAAAAAAAACAGUUUGAAGCACUUCCAAUUUUGCAACACACUAUGAAAAAAAUUUUACUCUCAAAAUUUUACAAGGUCCCAUUGUAAGUAAGGGGUGAAAUUGAGUUUAGAACUGUCAGUUUUAGAAAUUACGAUCAAAGUAGUUGCCACAAAGACUGAGGCAAACGCUUUGAACUGACAGCAAAUUUAAGUUAUGGUAGUCAUUUUAGAUAAGCCAAAUGACGUCAAAAUUGUCAUCAGGAAAAGUUAACUCUUUCCUGGAUAGGAAAGCUUAAUUAGGCAUUUAUGCCCUCUAUUGACCAAAAACUAUAUAAUACUAGAUAACGUAGACACACCUACAGUUUCCUAUUGGCCUUAUCAACUAAUGACGUAGAGAGAGUCUGGCCCUGUAAAAAAGUUAGGACAAAGGGAAGAGAGAGGUUAGUUUGGACAUUCAGAUACUCUGGGACUAACUCUCAAACUCUCUUGGACACAACUCAAGAAACACUCCUUGACACUUAGAAUUUUAAUAUUACUUUCUAACCAACAUCACUUUUCUCUAUUACUUACACACCUCCAUACAACCAAUCAUACUCGCAUUCAAGUUCCUGGGACUACCUACUUAUCUGAUGAGAACAUCUACAUAACUGGUAAUUAUGCUGGUUUUAUUUAAUUAAUUUAAAUUAAUUAAAAAUUUACUAAUAGCAUGAUAUGUGACUGGAUAAAUCACGGUCAGAUUUCAAUAAUUAAGAAAUCUUAGUUAACUAAAGAAUAUGUAGUUAUAACACUCCAUUCUGCAGGUGAAGUCAGAUAAUUACAUAGUACUGGUAUCUUACCAUGUGUUAGCAUACCGCUGUUUUUAUCCAUGUGUAUUGAUUUGCUCUGAAAUAAGAUCGUCUAUCUUAGGUAGAGUUAAAUUCGGCUUUUGUAAAAAUCUGGUAGAUUAUUCUUAUUGGAUGGUUCCAGGAAAUUAUUAAUGCGCUAGUUCGAAUGUUAUUUUAAUGGAAAAUUACAGGAGAAUAGGAUACUAUAUGCCUAGGAGGAUCUAGCCAGCAUUGAAAGGGUUACUCAGUUGAUCUGUUAGCCAAGGUUUUAUGGCUUUUCGCUGGAAGUUUAGCUUUCUGUGUCUGUGAUGUACCCUCAUAAAUUGUGUAAGUGUUGACAGUUGAUGCUGUAGCUUUGUACUGUGUUUAUCCAUUGCCAUUGCAUACUUACGUUAUACUAAAUAUUCACUGAUUAAUAUCAUGUAUGCUGCCUAAUAUUAUUAUUAUUUUAUUUGUCACAAUAAAUUAUAUCUAUUUUUAUAACAAAUUGGGAUUUUAUUUGUAUGGAAUACAUUUCACUUACAUGAUAACGAUCUCUAAGAUCUAAGAGAAUUGAAAUAGUGGGCAAUUCUCAACUGUAUAAUAUUAUCAUCCCAUAAAUAUCCCCACACUCCCCAGCAGCAGUGUGUUGUCAAGGGAGAAGAGACAACCGGUCUCUCUCCCCAGCGGCAGCCAGCAUCCCAGGGAGAGGAGAUUGUCGGCCCCUCAUCCCUGCAGCAACCAUCAUCACUGGGAGUCGAGACAGUCGGUCUUACUCCCCAGCGGCAGUGGGUUGUCAAGGGAAAAGAGACAACUGGUCUCUCGCCCCAGCGGCAGCCAUCAUCCCAGGGAGAGGAGAUUGUUGGUCCCUCGUCCCUGCAGCAACCAGCAUCCCAGGGAGAGGAGAUUGUCGGUCCCUCGUCCCUGCAGCAAUCAUCAUCAAUGAGAGUCGAGACAGUCGGUCUUACUCCCCAGCGGCAGUGUGUUGUCAAGGGAGAAGAGACAACUGGUCUCUCUCCCCAGCGGCAGCCAGCAUCCCAGGGAGAGGAGAUUGUCGGUCCCUUGUCCCUGCAGCAACUAGCAUCCCAGGGAGAGGAGAUUGUCGGUCCCUCGUCCCUGCAGCAACCAUCAUCACGGAGAGUCAAGACAGCUGGUCUGACUCCCCAGUGGCAGUGUGUUGUCAAGGGAGAAGAGACAACUGGUCUCUCUCCCCAGUGGCAGCCAGCAUCCCAGGGAGAGCAGAUUGUCAGUCCCUUGUCCUUGCAGCAACUGGGAGUGGAAAUGGUUGCUCCCACCACCCAGCACCAGGCAGCGUUACUGGGAGUCGAGACAGUCGGUCUGAUUCCCCAGCGGCAGUGUGAUGUACCAGGAGAAGAGACAACCGGUCUCUCUCCCCAGCGGGAGUAUACCCUACCAGACGGUGCAGAUGGGACCGUAGUCUCUGCACCCGACCUACAGGGAUGCUGGACGGCCUAUCCAGAUCCCCAACUACCCUCACAAGAAUACUGGGUGGAGGAGGUAAGCGAUGUCUCCCCUCCCCAACCAAGUUGCGUCCAGGCUACCCCAGCAGAAGCGCUGGCAUCGGGACAGAGUGCAGUUGGCUUCUGCCCCCCAAGUCCCCACAGCGUGUUGCCCAGUAGCACCAGAGGAACCACCAGGUGCAGUAAAUGUGUGUUGUGGGUGGGCUACUCAUGUACUUGUUCACUGUGGGUGGGUUUAUUGACUAACUCAGGCACUGACCGACAAGUCAGGUACCUGGUUAGUUUCCCCCCCAAGGGGGAAUGGUUGUGACGAAAUGCCUUUUGUCACUGGAUUGUUAGGUGACAAGCUGCCCUUUGCCCCCGGCUGUUGUAGGAGCCUGAUUGCCAGCCUCCUUCCUCAUGACUAUGGCCCUGGGGUGUAGUGCCAUUUAAAAAGACUAUUUGGGGCUUAUUGGCUUUUAAAGACUGUUUCUGCCCAUUUUAAUCCAUGGGAAGGUGUGUCUCUUCCUCUCCCCCGUUUCCUGUCUAUUGUUCUCCAGCUGGGCGUUGUACCAGGCACACUGCCAAACCAGUUGGAACUGACUGCUUUUGUCCCUCCUUGGUCUCUCAACAGCCCUUGCUAUGCUUUACCCAAUGGCAAAUUUACUCUGUUCAGGGGAUCUGAGCGCAGUUCACCUAUAUUGGGCGCUCAGAUCCGAGCUAUCUGGGGAUGGGUUGAAUGUGGGGGUUCUGUGUAAUAUAAUAAGAAUUAUGUACUUUUAUGUAUUUUUGCUGUUAGUGUAAAAUGUAGAUAUUUUCUGUACCUGGAGAUAAUUGAGUUUACUGCAGUGCCUUAAGCCAAUUAUCUCCAGGAUGGAGAGGAGGGAUUUCAUUGUGUAUGUGGGAGUGUUAUGUUAAUUAGUGUUCCCAUUGGCUUGUGUCCCUUUUGUCACAGUUUACCACCAGGUCCAGGGGGUGUGCCUCUGGCCUGAAAACCUGUAUAUAAGGACUAAUAAAUGCUCCUUGGAGUCAGAUCAUCUUAUACCUUCAUGAAGUUUCGGCUCAUGUUUGGGGUAUUGGAGAGCUACACUCUGGGGAUUGCUAUAAUCACUAUACCCCCCAGGGUAUAAUCACUAAGCUCCCCUAAGAGCUUGUUCCUGUUCCUGCUCUCUGGAAUUGGGAGAGGUUGAUCUACUGGAAGCUGGACCCUGGUCUACUGGAAGCUGGACCCUGGUCUUGGGUCCAGAGUGAGUGGAGAUGGCGAGACCCCAACCAAGCUGCGGCGGUUUGUGGGAGUCCACAGUGGUUAUGGUGUCUGGCGCAGUGCUUGGAGUUCUCGGAAAGCACUAGGAGCAUCCAUCAACGGAAGGUACCCGUCGGGGUGCCAGCGGUUCCAUUACAGAUACAUUUAGAUUUCUCUCAAUUUCCAAUAUGUCUUGGGUUUAGGUAAACUAGAAAAAUGGUCAGAACUGUGACAACUGACAUUUAAUGUGGAUAAGUGCAAGAUAAUGCAUCUUGGGUGUAAAAACCAAAGGGAAGAGUAUAGAAUACUUGAUACAGUCCUAACCUCAACAUCUGAGGAAGGGAUUUAGGGGUAGUUAUUUCAGAUGACUUAAAGGUAGGCAGACAAUGUAAUGGAGGAGCAGGAAAUGCUAGCAGAAUGCUUGGUUGUAUAGGGAGUGGUAUUAGCAGUAGAAAGAGGGAAGAGCUCAUGCUAUUGUACAGAACACUGGUGAGACCUCAUUGAAUAUUUGUACGCAGUACUGGAGACCGUAUCUCCAGAAGGAUAUUGAUACUUUGGAGAGAGUUCAGAGAAGGGCUACUAAACUGGUUCAUGGUUUGCAGGAUAAAACUUACAAGGAAAGGUUAAAGAAUCUUAACAUGUAUAGCUUGGAGGAAAGACAAGACGGGAGAUACGAUAGAAACAUUUAAAUACAUAAAGGGAAUCAACACAGUAAAGGGGAGACUAUAUUUAAAAGAAGAAAACCUACCACAGCAAGAGGACAUAGUCUUAAAUUACGGGGACAAAAGUUUACAAAUUAUUUUAGGAAGUAUUACUUUACUUAGAGGGUAGUGGAUGCAUGAAAUAGCCUUCCAGCUAAAGUGGUAGAGGUAAACACAGUGAAGGAGUUUAAGCAUGCGUGGGAUAGGAAAAAGGCUAUCCUAGCUAUAAGAUAAUGCCAGGGUCUAAUGAGAGUAUUUAUAAAAUUGGGCAGACUAGAUUGUCUGAAUGGUUUUUAUCUGCUGUCACAUUCUAUGUUUCUGCUAGAUUAUUUGUUACUGUGUAAUGCUGUCCAUGGUUUUGCACAUCUUUUCUUGACAUGCAUACAUUUUUCUUACUAAACAUUGCAAUAUAUUUAGUUGUAUUUCACUUUUAACAUCACAAACUCGUUAUAUAUUAGCACAGAGCUACUCCAUUCAACAAACACAUUGUAGUACUUCAAUACCUGUCUAACAUGGGAUGUUAAUGGUAUUUGAUUGAAUAUGUUUUAUUAAAAGGGAUGGUUGACCUAAACAGUGCCAUUAGAAAUGCUUGGUUUGAACAAUCAAUGAAAACAUACAGAAAUUCUGGUGCAAAGUAUUAUAUACUUCACUGUAACUGAAAUAGUUCUGGUACAUAUAUAAUUUUCUUAGUCACAUGCUCAUUGUUCUCAUAUAAAUAUUUUUUUCUUGAUAAAUACUAUUAAUUGUUUUCCCACCUUCUUUGGUUCCUCCUUCAGGUGUCAUCAUUAAAAGAAAGAGAGGAGAGAUUCCUUGUCCUUUAGCAGUGGAAGCAUUUGCUGCACAUCUCAGUUAUAUCUGUAAAUAUGAUGAUAAAUAUAGCAAGUA